rnacentral:rRNA from 1 species
CAGUAGCCACGGUAAUACGGAGGAUCCAAGCGUUAUCCGGAAUCAUUGGGUUUAAAGGGUCCGUAGGCGGUCUUGUAAGUCAGUGGUGAAAGCCCAUCGCUCAACGGUGGAACGGCCAUUGAUACUGCAGGACUUGAAUUAUUGGGAAGUAACUAGAAUAUGUAGUGUAGCGGUGAAAUGCUUAGAGAUUACAUGGAAUACCAAUUGCGAAGGCAGGUUACUACCAAUUGAUUGACGCUGAUGGACGAAAGCGUGGGUAGCGAACAGGAUUAGAGACCCGAGUAGUCCCUGUCUCUUAUAC